CUUUAAAACCACACACACACACACACACACACAGAGAGAGAGGAGGGAGUCGCAGAGAGAAGACAAAAGAGCAGGAUUUAGUUUGUUUUCCUUCUGCUGCGGAUUAUUCAAACAUCCUUUAAAAACUUCUGCUCUGCAACAACAACUAAAACAACUCACGGAUUUUUAUCCAAUUGGACUUAUUUUUUUGUUGUUGAAAUUCUUGCUCCUGGAAGUAAAUAGUUGUUUUUCUAACUAUAGGGGACGUUACGUGGGUCAUGCUGACACUGGCACCGAUGUUUUUCUGAUUUAUUGUUUUGAGCAAAUCAAACUUUUGAAGCCGUAAAAUGUCUUUUCUAUGACAUGCACCGACAGUUCAGACCACCAAACCCAUCAGAUGGUGCAAUCAACGUAAAGGCAACAGAGGGCAGCGGCACACAUCCAGGUCUCGUUGCCGGUGCGUCCGAGCAAAAGACCGGACACCGGAGCUGUGGUCACUCCAUGUUAUCCGGGGGAGGAAGAGGAGGAGAGCAGGACUCGCCGUCCUGGUGCACACCCCAUGACGGAUUAAGUGACGGCCUAUAUCAAAGUAGACGGAAGUAUCCCCUCUCCAGCCGCUCCUCCAGUGGAUACAUCUCAGACGGUGAGUCGCUGCCCAGUUCACCUCAAACCACCAGACCAGUGAUGGCUGACAAAGCCACGCAGACUCCCAGUCUCACUGGGCAGGUUGUGAUGCACGCUCUGCAUCGCAUGGCUGAGGAUGGCCAUGCUGGACCGAGGACGCCCCCUGGUCACGACAGCUUCCCUGAAUCAGGGCCUCUGAACUCGACGAUGGAAGCUCAGGCUGAGACGUUUGGACGGGAGCUUCGACUCAUCGGAGACGACUACAACAGACUUCUAAUCUCAAGGGUCAGUGUUUUUUUUUUAAUUUUUUUUAUACACCAUGGCUGCCCACGGCUCUUUAAAAUGACUUCUAUGUACUCAUGUAUAUGUGACAUUGAAGCAGUU
rnacentral:lncRNA from 1 species